rnacentral:misc_RNA from 1 species
GAUGAAGAACGCAGCGAAAUGCGAUACGUAAUGUGAAUUGCAGAAUUCAGUGAAUCAUCGAAUCUUUGAACGCAUAUUGCGCUCUUUGGUAUUCCGAAGAGCAUGCUUGUUUGAGUAUCAGUAAACACCUCAAAGCUUUUGGAUUUUUUAAUCGAAAAGCUUUGGACUUGAGCAAUCCCAACACCAAUCUUUUUGAGAUCGGUGGCGGGUUGCUUGAAAUGCAGGUGCAGCUGGACAUUCUCCUGAGCUAAAAUCAUAUUCAUUUAGUCCCGUCAAACGUAUUAUUACUUUUGCUGCAGCUAACAUAAAGGGAGUUUGACCGUAUUGGCUGACUGAUGCAGGAUUUCACAAGGGUCGGCAACGAUUCUUGUUAAACUCGAUCUCAAAUCAAGUAAGGCUACCCGCUGAACUUAAGCAUAUCAAUAAGCGGAGGA